GACGAACGCUGGCGGCGUGCUUAACACAUGCAAGUCGAACGGAAAGGCCCCUUUGGGGGUCCUCGAGUGGCGAACGGGGGAGUAACACGUGAGUAACCUGCCCUUGACUUCGGGAUAACUUCAGGAAACUGGGGCUAAUACCGGAUAGGAAUCCUUGCUGCAUGGUGGGGGUUGGAAAGCUUCGGCGGUUUUGGAUGGACGCGCGGCCUAUCAGCUUGUUGGUGGGGUAGUGGCUUACCAAGGCUACGACGGGUAGCCGGCCUGAGAGGGCGACCGGCCACGCUGGGACUGAGACACGGCCCAGACGCCUACGGGCGGCAGCAGUGGGGAAUAUUGGACGAGGGGCGAGAGCCUGAUCCAGCGGUGCCGCGUGAGUGAUGAAGGCCUUAGGGUUGUAAAGCUCUUUUACCCGGGAUGAUAAUGACAGUACCGGGAGAAUAAGCUCCGGCUAACUCCGUG
rnacentral:rRNA from 1 species